rnacentral:rRNA from 1 species
ACGGGAGGCAGCAGUGGGGAAUAUUGGGCAAUGGGCGAAAGCCUGACCUAGCAACGCCGCGUGAAGGAAGAAGGCCUUCGGGUUGUAAACUUCUUUUACCAGGGACGAAGGACGUGACGGUACCUGGAGAAAAAGCAACGGCUAACUACGUGCCAGCAGCCGCGGUAAUACGUAGGUUGCAAGCGUUGUCCGGAUUUACUGGGUGUAAAGGGCGUGUAGGCGGAGCUGCAAGUCAGAUGUGAAAUCCCGGGGCUCAACCCCGGAACUGCAUUUGAAACCGUUUUUCUUGAGUAUCGGAGAGGCAGGCGGAAUUCCUAGUGUAGCGGUGAAAUGCGUAGAUAUUAGGAGGAACACCAGUGGCGAAGGCGGCCUGCUGGACGACAACUGACGCUGAGGCGCGAAAGCGUGGGGAGCAAACAGGAUUAGAUACCCUGGUA